ACUAAAAGGUCCACCAAGUUGUCUCACAGCACCUAGAAAACGAUUGUGUAGCUCUCCAAUCCACUUCGACUGAGGUUUCAUGACAGUGGAGACAGCUAGAGGACCGCCAGCUUCCUCCUCCUCCUCUUCCGAAUCCUCAUCAUCAAUAUCGUCAAUAAGAACAAAAUCAAGGUCAUCAUUUCGGGAUUUGAUAACUGGAGUUGCAGGCGCCAUGGUUUCUUGCAGAAAAAGCAAUUUGUUUGAAUCACCAUGAUCUAGUUGGUCAUGACGACCAUCACGAAGCUUUCUGUAACAACUAUUGCUAACCUCACAAGGACUCUCCUUAACAAAAAUCUCUUACCCUUCGUCCUUCAUCCCCGCACGAAUCAUGUCAACAUUUCGAUUAGUACCCAUCAUUUUUUCUUCUACCCUAUUAUCAGACAUGAACCCAGGAACCAACCCAGAGAAACUGUUUUGCAAUGGGACCCGAUAUAUAUAGAUCCUAAGGAAACAGGAAAGAAGGGUCACACGAGAAAUAUCAUGGGGG
rnacentral:lncRNA from 1 species